ACAGGCAUGGCCAAACUUGGCCCUCCAGAUGUUUUGGGACUACAACUCCCAUCAUCCCUAGCUAACAGGACCAGUGGUCAGGGAUGAUGGGAAUUGUAGUCCCAAAACAUCUGGAGGGCCAAGUUUGGCAAUGCCUGG